rnacentral:rRNA from 1 species
CCUACGGGGGGCAGCAGUAAGGAAUAUUGGUCAAUGGACGCAAGUCUGAACCAGCCAUGCCGCGUGGAGGAUGAAGGUCCUCUGGAUUGUAAACUUCUUUUAUUUGGGAAGAAACUCCCGAUUUCCAUCGGGAUUGACGGUACCAGAUGAAUAAGCACCGGCUAACUCCGUGCCAGCAGCCGCGGUAAUACGGAGGGUGCAGGCGUUAUCCGGAUUCACUGGGUUGAAGGUGGGCGGGGAUGUCCGGGGAGAAAGCUCCGGGCUUAACCCGGAAACUGCCAUGGAUACUAUUUGUCUUGAAUACUCUGGAGGUGAGCGGAAUAUGUCAUGUAGCGGUGAAAUGCUUAGAUAUGACAUAGAACACCCAUUGCGAAGGCAGCUCACUACGGAAAUAUUGACGCUGAGGCACGAAAGCGUGGGGAUCAAACAGGAUUAGAUACUCGAGUAGUC